rnacentral:rRNA from 1 species
AUUGAACGCUGGCGGCAUGCCUUACACAUGCAAGUCGAACGGCAGCACGGGUGCUUGCACCUGGUGGCGAGUGGCGAACGGGUGAGUAAUAUAUCGGAACGUACCUUAUUGUGGGGGAUAACGCAGCGAAAGCUGUGCUAAUACCGCAUAAUCCCUAAGGGGGAAAGCGGGGGACCGUAAGGCCUCGCGCAAUUAGAGCGGCCGAUACCUGAUUAGCUAGUUGGUGAGGUAAAGGCUCACCAAGGCAACGAUCAGUAGCUGGUUUGAGAGGACGAUCAGCCACACUGGGACUGAGACACGGCCCAGACUCCUACGGGAGGCAGCAGUGGGGAAUUUUGGACAAUGGGGGCAACCCUGAUCCAGUAAUGCCGCGUGAGUGAAGAAGGCCUUCGGGUUGUAAAGCUCUUUUGUCAGGGAAGAAACAGCAGCUCUAACACAGUUUGCGAAUGACGGUACCUGAAGAAUAAGCACCGGCUAACUACGUGCCAGCCGCCGCGGUAA